rnacentral:tRNA from 1 species
GCCUGGGUGGCUCAGUCGGUUGAGCGACCGACUUCGGCUCAGGGCGUGAUCUCAUGAUUGGUGGGUUCGAGCCCCACAUCAGGCU